rnacentral:lncRNA from 1 species
UGGCAGAAGAGAAGGUGAUGAUGAGGCUUUGGACUUUGAAUCGUGUCAAGAGGUGAAGGGGGGAUUAUGCACAAAUCCUUCCCUACUAUCCCUACAACCACAGCAUGGGGCAGAGGAACCGCUAGGCUGGUUCACUGUGGCACCUGCUGCCAGCAAAUGCCUGUUCUUCCUGCCUUCUCUGACCAUGGGCACAGAAGUCCUCAGUCCCUAAUGUUCAAUUUAAACCUAUUGGUGUUUUGAUCUUCCGUCCCUUCUCCCUGUUAGCAAUAUAAUCCUGUAGUCCUGAAAAUAGAUUUUCCUGAGGAGCCAUCCAUUUGACAGACAGAUGAAUAUGGACCACUGCUGAUGAUCUGUGUAACUCAACUUUAAUUAGAAUGACAACUAAUUGAAAGUAAUUUAAUGCUAGUUCAUGAAAGAUUAAUGGAAUUCAUGUUUUGGAGAUGCUGAAUGCAACACAGAUUUGGCCUGAAACACAAAUCUAACCUUUAUUCACUUUAAUUAUUCAGUCAGAAUCAUUUCCUGGGAGCAAGUCUAGUCUCUGGACGGCUCUAAUCAAACACCACUGAACUUUGAAGACAUCAACUCAUUCAGCUGCAACUCAAUUUUCAAAUUAAUCUGCCACAUAACAUGGAGGCUUUGUGGCCUAAGCAGGGGGCAGGUGGGAGGGGAAGAUGGGGUUAAAGCCCUCCCAGGUAUGAACUGAUUCUAGAGCAUCUGACCUUCCCCACCCUCUCUAGUGGCGAGGCACUUCCGGAACUGGUGCCAGGUCUUCCUAUGAGAGGCUGAGCUGAGCAACCACGCUGCCUCCAUGCUUGAGCUCAGGGCUCCACACUCACAACUGAAGCCUAAGCCUGGUACAGCUGGAACCCUGAAGGGGGCCCUGGACCAGCAGAGCCUGCCUCUUCCACCCUAGCCUAGCUGCCCUUCCCUGCUCUCUCCCUCUCCCUAGGAGAGCUGAGACGAGGGACUUGAGCUCUCUGCUUGGCAAGAUGCCCUCAGAAACCACCCCAAUUUCUGCACCCACUUAUUCCUUGGCCCUUCAGGCAGGCACCAGGUACGGCCCACACAGACUCAGCCUCUCCUUCCCUGCCUUGGAAAACCCAGGUCCCUAACUCCAUCUGCUUUACUUUACAGCCCUUCCAAGGCUUCUUCCUAAAACCUUCUCUGCCAAAGGGGAGGCAACGCCACCAUUUCUCACAGCCUGGGGCAGCUUGGAAUGUGAUAUUUGGAGUCAGCAAAGAUUCCAAUCUGGCUAAUACACAUUAGGCAGUGUAGAGACCUGUGCUUUGGCCCUGAGGCACAGCCAUGUGACCAUGACUAAUCUAUGUCAUAUAACUGCAUGGCCUGGAGGAGGUGAGUAGAGGGAAGGACCCUGUAUUAACAGCAUCUCAUCCAGACAGCA